rnacentral:rRNA from 1 species
GAUGAACGCUGGCGGCGUGCCUAAUACAUGCAAGUCGAGCGAACAGAUCAGGAGCUUGCUGGUUGCACGUUAGGGGCGGGCGUGUGAGUAACACGAGUGUAACCUCUUUAUAAGACUGAUAUAACUACGGGAAUCCGGGUAAAACGCCGGAUAACCUGGUGAACCUGAGGGUUCGACAGUGAAAGGCGGCUGUGCUGUCACGACUAGAUGGUCCCCGGCCGUUUGGGCGAGUUGGUGAGAUAACGGCUCACGAAGGCUACGAUACGUAGCCGACCGGAGAGGGUGGUCGGCCACCCGGGAACGGGACCACGGACAAGACUCCUACGGGAGGCAGCAGUGGGGAACGUUCGGCAAUGGGCGAAAGCCUGACGCAGCAAGGCCGCGUGAGUGAUGAAGGCCUUCGGUUCGUAAAGCCCUGUUAUUAGGGAAGAACAACUUGGUACGUAAAUGUGCGCGGCGUGACGGUACCGGAUCAGAAAGCACCGGCUAACUACGUG